UCUUUAAAGCAAUUACAGGUAGUUCAUCAGCCCUGGAUCUUGCCAAGUGACACAGAAAGUGAAGGAGUGGAAGCUGAACAAGAGAAAUGUUCUGCUGAUCUUCUUCUCUGUGUCCCAUGCUCUUCUUGUCCUACUCUGAUCUACUCUGGUAUGCUUGCUCAGGGCACCUAACAGCAGCGUCAGUGCCUCUGCCAAAGGGCCAACAGCCUCUACACAGACACCUUGAGUGUGGGAGGUCUGUGAAGCAGGCAGAAGAAAUUGCAAGUGGUCCUUAAAGAAAUUGCAAUUAUUCAAAUCAUUAUGUAUAGUUCUAAUUUUAUUUACUACAUGUAAUCAUUUAGAGAAUGAUUAUUUUUAUAAUAUCAAUAACAAACAAGUACUGUUGCAACCAGGGGGUGCCUAAUCAGUGUGUAAUCAGAAAAUACUAACCCUGGCAAAAGAUUCUGGGCUGAUCAGGAUGCUUGCUGCCUUUUGGCCUGGUUAGUGUCCUGGGUUUAGACUACUUUAUACCUAACUAUUAAGAUUACUCUUUGAUAUUUAAAGAUUGCUUGAAUUCAAAUAAUUUUGCUUAAAAUUUUUCUGUAUUUUAACUUGUGUAGGGUUUUCUACUUCUUAUAUUUUUAUAAUAUUUUCUCAUUUUUUUAGAUUAAUCAACAUUAUAUUUACCAACAUGUGCCAAGAUGUGCCAUUUAGGUCUCUCUGGGAAUUAUAGCUCUUUGGUAUCAUCACCUGUAUAUGUGUUUUGUGCAGCAGCAAGAGACAUAUUCUCCACCACUGCUCCUUCUUAUGAUGACCUUCCCAGUUCCUAUCAAAACAAAUAAUUGGUAUGUUAAUUCAGUAAAGCAGAUCCGUAAGGAAUGAAAUGCAUGCCCAAAGCCUAUGCCAUGAAAAUUGUUUGACCAUUUAUCCAGUUAUUGAGCCCAAUUAAGAUUAUCCAUUUAAAAUUUUAUAUAUGCUCGCUUUUGAAAUGUGUUAUGCAUUGAUACUAAGUGAAUGGAUCUAAGUAAAUCUAUUGACUAGCUCUACUGUCUUUUUUAUCUUUGUCUUAAUCUAAGUUUGCUUUCUGGACCUUUAAGGCAUGCAGCUAAAUUAUAAAACUGCCUGGAUAACUGUCAAAGAAACAAAUGUUACAGACCAGAACAUGGCUAAAGAAUAAACAAAAAAAUUCUGAUUAUAUGAAUA